CAAUGAAUCUCCUAUUUGUUCAUUAAAAAGUGUGUUAUCCUUUUGAGCUUGCUAUAGCAACAAAGUCUAACCUAUUCCGGCACUCUCUCCUCCAUGGGACAAGCCAUUAUACAGACUUAGACAGU